rnacentral:rRNA from 1 species
GACGAACGCUGGCGGCGCGCCUAACACAUGCAAGUCGAACGAGAGAUGAGGAGCUUGCUCUUCAAAUCGAGUGGCGAACGGGUGAGUAACGCGUGAGGAACCUGCCUCAAAGAGGGGGACAACAGUUGGAAACGACUGCUAAUACCGCAUAAGCCCACGGCUCGGCAUCGAGCAGAGGGAAAAGGAGCAAUCCGCUUUGAGAUGGCCUCGCGUCCGAUUAGCUAGUUGGUGAGGUAACGGCCCACCAAGGCGACGAUCGGUAGCCGGACUGAGAGGUUGAACGGCCACAUUGGGACUGAGACACGGCCCAGACUCCUACGGGAGGCAGCAGUGGGGAAUAUUGCACAAUGGGGGAAACCCUGAUGCAGCGACGCCGCGUGGAGGAAGAAGGUCUUCGGAUUGUAAACUCCUGUUGUUGAGGAAGAUAAUGACGGUACUCAACAAGGAAGUGACGGCUAACUACGUGCCAGCAGCCGCGGUAAAACGUAGGUCACAAGCGUUGUCCGGAAUUACUGGGUGUAAAGGGAGCGCAGGCGGGAGAACAAGUUGGAAGUGAAAUCCAUGGGCUCAACCCAUGAACUGCUUUCAAAACUGUUUUUCUUGAGUAGUGCAGAGGUAGGCGGAAUUCCCGGUGUAGCGGUGGAAUGCGUAGAUAUCGGGAGGAACACCAGUGGCGAAGGCGGCCUACUGGGCACCAACUGACGCUGAGGCUCGAAAGUGUGGGUAGCAAACAGGAUUAGAUACCCUGGUAGUCCACACCGUAAACGAUGAUUACUAGGUGUUGGAGGAUUGACCCCUUCAGUGCCGCAGUUAACACAAUAAGUAAUCCACCUGGGGAGUACGACCGCAAGGUUGAAACUCAAAGGAAUUGACGGGGGCCCGCACAAGCAGUGGAGUAUGUGGUUUAAUUCGACGCAACGCGAAGAACCUUACCAAGUCUUGACAUCCCUUGACGAACAUAGAAAUAUGUUUUCUCUUCGGAGCAAGGAGACAGGUGGUGCAUGGUUGUCGUCAGCUCGUGUCGUGAGAUGUUGGGUUAAGUCCCGCAACGAGCGCAACCCUUAUGGUCAGUUACUACGCAAGAGGACUCUGGCCAGACUGCCGUUGACAAAACGGAGGAAGGUGGGGAUGACGUCAAAUCAUCAUGCCCUUUAUGACUUGGGCUACACACGUACUACAAUGGCGUUAAACAAAGAGAAGCAAGACCGCGAGGUGGAGCAAAGCUCAGAAACAACGUCCCAGUUCGGACUGCAGGCUGCAACUCGCCUGCACGAAGUCGGAAUUGCUAGUAAUCGUGGAUCAGCAUGCCACGGUGAAUACGUUCCCGGGCCU